UACGGAGGUCCCAAGCGUUGUUCGGAUUCACUGGGCGUAAAGGGUGCGUAGGCGGUCGGGAAAGUUUGAUGUGAAAGCUCCGGGCUCAACCUGGAAAUGGCAUUGAAAACUAUUCGACUAGAGGAUUGUAAGGGAGACUGGAAUUCUCGGUGUAGCAGUGAAAUGCGUAGAUAUCGAGAGGAACACCAGUGGCGAAGGCGAGUCUCUGGACAAUUCCUGACGCUGAGGCACGAAAGCUAGGGGAGCAAACAGG
rnacentral:rRNA from 1 species